UGCUGUGAUGUUGUAAUUUGCAUCCUAUUCAGGGACAGUUGCUUGCUGUUCAUACACUGAAGACCUGAAGACCUCUUGGAACUGAGCA